rnacentral:rRNA from 1 species
GUGCCAGCCGCCGCGGUAAUACGUAGGGGGCAAGCGUUAUCCGGAAUUAUUGGGCGUAAAGAGUGCGUAGGUGGUUACCUAAGCGCAAGGUUUAAUACAGUGGCUCAACUACUGUCUGCCUUGCGAACUGGGCUACUUGAGUGCAGGAGGGGAAAGCGGAAUUCCUAGUGUAGCGGUGAAAUGCGUAGAUAUUAGGAGGAACACCGGCGGCGAAGGCGGCUUUCUGGACUGUAACUGACACUGAGGCACGAAAGCGUGGGGAGCAAACAGGAUUAGAUACCCUGGUAGUCCACGCCGUAAACGAUGAGCACUAGGUGUUGGGGUCGAAUGAUCUCAGUGCCGCAGUUAACGCAAUAAGUGCUCCGCCUGGGGAGUACGCUCGCAAGAGUAAAACUCAAAUAAAUUGACGG